GAUAAACGCUGGCGGCGUGCUUAACACAUGCAAGUCGAACGAAGUUUUUCUUUCGGGAGGAACUUAGUGGCGGACGGGUGAGUAACGCGUGGGUAACCUGCCCUGUACAGGGGGACAACAGCUGGAAACGGCUGCUAAUACCGCAUAAGCCCUUCGCACUGCAUGGUGCAUAGGGAAAAGGAGCAAUCCGGUACAGGAUGGACCCGCGUCUGAUUAGCCAGUUGGCAGGGUAACGGCCUACCAAAGCGACGAUCAGUAGCCGAUCUGAGAGGAUGUACGGCCACAUUGGGACUGAGACACGGCCCAGACUCCUACGGGAGGCAGCAGUGGGGAAUAUUGCACAAUGGAGGAAACUCUGAUGCAGCGACGCCGCGUGAGUGAAGAAGUAUUUCGGUAUGUAAAGCUCUAUCAGCAGGAAAGAAAAUGACGGUACCUGACGAAGAAGCACCGGCUAAAUACGUG
rnacentral:rRNA from 1 species